CCCUGCUCCCGGCGUGGCACUGGGGUCGGCGCGGGGCUGAGGGGUGCCCGAGAAGGCGGCGGCCUGGCGGGGUGGAGGAGGAAGAGGACGGACCGGGCUUCGGCACGGGCAGUGGCGCAGCUCCGCUGCCGCCCGCUCCUCGCGAGCCCUCGGCGGCAGCUGCAGCAGAAUGGGACGAUGGGUACCUCACCUCUCCUGAGAAGAAUUUUUCCCUACUAUCUGCCCUGAACAUCCUGCACAACUUGAAGCAAUUAUCUAUUGUCCUAUCGCCAUUACCUGGGUGAAGACGUCAACACUCACCUCCCUACAACCUCCUUUCAGGCAAGUUGUAGAAAGCAGUAAGGAAAUGAAGGAAAAAUGAGCCUAAAAUUGGCAUGGUUUGAUAGCAUAAGUAGUAUAGGAAGGAUCAAUCUAUUUGAGAUGUACCUCGAAAUAAGAAACUAAAAUAAAACUUCGUAACUUUAGUAAUAAUUAUGUAAAGAA